UGCACCCAGAGACCAAAGGACACCGUGAUUUGAUCCCCUGAGCUGAAUGCUUUCCAUGUUCCAGGCAGUGUGACAGUGUCUCUCACGUGAGAAAGGAACAGGGAUUCUCUGUAUAGCCCUGCUGUCCUGGAACUCAUGCUGCAGAUGAGGCUGACCCUUGAAGUGAGAGAGCUGCUUGCCCCUGCCUUCUUACUGCUGAGAUUAAAGGUCUGUGUAUCAUUUUUGAGAUAAACUCAGUGUAAACUAUAAGGCAAAGACAUGUUCGAAUUUAAUCUACAUAUAACACCCAGCAUGGAGAGAAUCAGAAACCAAGAGCAUGGUGUACUCAGUCUAACCCACAGGUUAUGGAGGCAGGGCUGACACAGCGACCUCCUCAUGUGGAAUCACCCGGAACCAUUUCUGUUCCAGCUCUUCUGUUUUUUGGCAAGUGCAUGUGAGUUUCUGGAUGACUUAUACUGAUUUUAGAUCAAGCAUGAGACUCAGAAUAGUUACUGGGUGACAUAAAAUGACAGAAACACCUUUGUACUGAGCGGAACUUCUGUGUUGGUGAAAUGAUAAAUAUAAAUGCAAACGAAAACUAAACUGUUAAGCUUAUCAGAAACAAAAGAAGCCAGAGAACCUGUCACUACCAAGAAGAACCUAAGACAUGGCAACUAAAUGCACUGAGGAUGAGGGAGAUUGCUGUGGAUGCUUCACCUGCAGCUGAGCACUCACACUUACCUAGACCUGACUCAUGGAGAAGUGUAUGAAGAAAAUGCUGCUCUGCCCACCUGACUCAUGGAGAAGUGCACGAAGGAAAUGCUGCUUUGACCAAAGAUGAGAGCAAAACAAACCUAUGGGUAUAAAGAUGAACAUUUAUAAGGCAGUUUGUCAGGGUGGCCAUUAUCAAAAUAACAACAGGAAUGAAGUCGCAGACCCCUGAGGUUGAAUGAAAGAAAGGCUGGAAGAAGCUGAGGAGGAGGGUAACCCCAUAUGAAGACCAGCAGUCUCAACUAACCUGGACCCCCAAGAUCUUGCAGACACUGAUCCACCAACCAGGCAGCAUAUACUAGCUGAUAUGAGGCCCAUGGCGCAUAGACAGCAGAAGACUGCCAGGUCUGGCCUCAGUGAGAGAGAAGAUGCACCUAACCCUUGAGAGACUUGAGGCCCUAGGGAGUGGAAACAUUCAGAAAAUACCGCUUUUCUGUCCCAUUGAAUAUGCCUGCCCCCUUGAUGAAGUGUGGUUGAAAGAUUGAAAGUAGAACAAGACGUUUGGAUACACUGGAGACACAGGACGGCAUCAGAGAUCUCAAACUAUGAGUCACAGCAAAAUCAGCUUUGAAGUGUGGCUACCAGUAGACCAUCCUUCCAAGUCUGCCCUUCUGCAAGAAGAAGGCCUGUGGAUGUCUCAAUAACUGCUCUCUGGAGACUUGAACGAUGACUUUAGACGGAUUACUCAUGCCAGGUAAAAAUUGAGGAUGAAAGUCUAGGUGACUUUCUGGUGGCUGUGCAGAUGAGAAGUCGGACAGUGGCACUGCAGUUUGCUCUGAUUGACUCUGGAGCCUGUGUUUGAAGCUACAGCAAUACAACAGUCUGCUCCAGCGCUGAGCUUGUAGGAAGGCGACCACUCCAGGCCGACUCAAUGGCUUUAGCCUCCAGAGUUAUCGUCGGUUGGCAGGAAGUCUUAAAGAACCCCACAGCGUGCCCUUCCGCCCCUGGCACAUCAUAAGCUAUUUUGGGAUGAGUCAUCGGAAUUCUGUGGUUUGCAUAUCCUGAAGGGGAAGAGAAGACACUGUAUGGCUAACAUUUAUUUGAAAUAGCAAGUUGGAAAGAAAAAUUCUUCGAUAAAAGUUCAGCAUUAGGACACACAGGAAGGUAGGCUUGGUGACUUCUGCA
rnacentral:lncRNA from 1 species